rnacentral:lncRNA from 1 species
AGUAUUAAUCUCUAAAUUGAUUUCUAAAACUUAAUUUCUAAAAUUUCUGGUUGCUGUGAUAACUGGUGGGGAGGGCCCCAAGAAAAUUCCUUGGCUUUAAGUUUUUAUCUAUUUGGCGCCACGCAAUUUAUUGUAUACUUCUUUCUUUUCAGUGAAAAACUUAAUAUUAUGUGGUAUACAUACAUCCUCAGAAUGUCUUUCCAGAUCACAAUUCUUCCCUCAAUUUGCCUAUUUCUGCAUAAAUAAAAUUUUUUUUUUUUUGACUGCACUUUGUAUGGGUGACAUGAAGUACUUGCAUUUUCCAUUAUGCUUCUCGGUCAUUAAAUUUAGUUAUAUUUUUAUGCUCAGUGGUAUCAUUUUUUAAAAAGACUUUCUUUACAUGUGUACCCCUCUCCCAUUGUCGACAUCCCCAUCAACAUGCUACAUUUGCUAUAACUAAUGAACUGCACUGACACAUCAUUAUCAUCCAGAGUCCAUACUGUACCUUAGGGUCCACUCUUGAUGUGCAUUCAAUGGGUUUUGCCACAUCUGUAAUGAUGUGUAUCUACCAUUAUAGUAUCAUACAGAUUAGUUUCAUUGUUCUAAAAAUCCCUAUGCUCUGCUUAGUCAUCCUUCCCUUCCCUCUAACCCUAAGUAACCACUGAUCUUUUUACUGCCUCACAGUUCAGCUUUUUAUGGAAUGACAUAUAGUUGGAAUCAUACAGUAUUUAGCCUUUACAAAUUGGCUUUUUUUAACUGAGUAAUACGCAUUUAAAUUUCCUCCAUGUCUUUUCAUAGCUUGAGAGCUCAUUUCCUUUUAGCAUUGAAUAAUACUCCAUUGUCUGGAUGUACCACAGUCCACUCACUGAAGAGGUUGCUAGGUUGCUUCUAAAUUU